CCUACGGGAGGCAGCAGUGGGGAAUUUUGGACAAUGGGGGCAACCCUGAUCCAGCAAUGCCGCGUGAGUGAAGAAGGCCUUCGGGUUGUAAAGCUCUUUUGUCAGGGAAGAAACGGCUGUGGCUAAUAUCCACGGCUAAUGACGGUACCUGAAGAAUAAGCACCGGCUAACUACGUGCCAGCAGCCGCGGUAAUACGUAGGGUGCAAGCGUUAAUCGGAAUUACUGGGCGUAAAGCGUGCGCAGGCGGUUUUGUAAGUCUGACGUGAAAUCCCCGGGCUUAACCUGGGAAUUGCGUUGGAGACUGCAAGGCUGGAGUCUGGCAGAGGGGGGUAGAAUUCCACGUGUAGCAGUGAAAUGCGUAGAGAUGUGGAGGAACACCGAUGGCGAAGGCAGCCCCCUGGGUCAAGACUGACGCUCAUGCACGAAAGCGUGGGGAGCAAACAGGAUUAGAUACCCUGGUAGUCCACGCCCUAAACGAUGUCUACUAGUUGUCGGGUCUUAAUUGACUUGGUAACGCAGCUAACGCGUGAAGUAGACCGCCUGGGGAGUACGGUCGCAAGAUUAAAACUCAAAGGAAUUGACGG
rnacentral:rRNA from 1 species